rnacentral:rRNA from 1 species
AUUGAACGCUGGCGGCAUGCCUUACACAUGCAAGUCGAACGGUAACGCGGGGCAACCUGGCGACGAGUGGCGAACGGGUGAGUAAUAUAUCGGAACGUGCCCAGUUGUGGGGGAUAACUGCUCGAAAGAGCAGCUAAUACCGCAUACGACCUGAGGGUGAAAGCGGGGGAUCGCAAGACCUCGCGCAAUUGGUGCGGCCU